rnacentral:tRNA from 1 species
GAAGAUAUAGCUCAGUGGUAGAUUGUGUGCCUAGCAUGUGCAAGGCCCUGGGUUCAAUCUCCAGGCCUAUA